AUUUUAUGGAGAGUUUGAUCCUGGCUCAGGACGAACGCUGGCGGCGUGCCUAAUACAUGCAAGUCGAGCGGACUUUUUAAAAGCUUGCUUUUGAAAAGUUAGCGGCGGACGGGUGAGUAACACGUGGGCAACCUGCCCUAUAGUUUGGGAUAACUCCGGGAAACCGGGGCUAAUACCGGAUAAUACAAUUU
rnacentral:rRNA from 1 species